rnacentral:rRNA from 1 species
UACAGAGGGUGCAAGCGUUGUUCGGAAUUAUUGGGCGUAAAGCGCGCGUAGGCGGCUCUGCAAGUCGGGUGUGAAAUCCCUCAGCUUAACUGAGGAAGUGCGCUCGAAACUGCAGAGCUUGAGUACCAAAGAGGAUGGCGGAAUUCCCCAAGUAGAGGUGAAAUUCGUAGAUAUGGGGAGGAACACCGGUGGCGAAGGCGGCCAUCUGGGUGGUCACUGACGCUGAGGCGCGAAAGCGUGGGUAUCAAACAGG